rnacentral:rRNA from 1 species
AGCGAACGCUGGCGGCAGGCCUAACACAUGCAAGUCGAACGAACUCUUCGGAUUUAGUGGCGGACGGGUGAGGAACACGUGGGAACGGGCCCUUUGGCUCGGAAUAACUCAGGGAAACGCGUGCUAAUACCGAAUGGGCCCUUCUGGGGAAAGGUUUAUCGCCCUUAGAUCGGCCCGCGCCGGCUUAGCCAGUUGGGGAGGUAACGGCUCACCACGGCGUCGAUCAGUAGCUGGUCGGGUGGGAUGCCCAGCCACGCUGGGACUUAGACACGGCCCAGGCUGCUGCGGGAGGCGGCCGUGGGGAAUCUUGCGCCCUGGGCGCAAGCCUGACGCAGCCAUGCCGCGUGAAUGAUGAAGGUCUUAGGAUUGUAAAAUUCUUUCACCGGGGACGAUAAUGCCGGUACCCGGAGAAGAAGCCCCGGCUAACUUCGUG